UCUCUGUUAUCUUCUCGCUCACAUUAACCAGACUGCUUUAAGGUUUCUGCGGAACAGGGAGGCAGCGGUUGUUGGUUAUCGGAUCUGAACGCUGCUGUGCCACUGAGGUAAGGCAAGCACGUGUAACCAUGGUAACGGGUGCUGUAUCGUGACAGAAACUAGUGUAAAAGGUCUCGUGUGAACCUCCACUAGGAGGUCUCUCACCUGAGAACGUCUGUCUGUGUCCAACUCUUCCUCACAGGUUAGUUAAUGACAGACAGUCAGUGAGUGUGUCUGUGUCCAACUCUUCCUCACAGGUUAGUUAAUGACAGACAGUCAGUGAGUGUGUCUGUGUCCAACUCUUCCUCACAGGUUAGUUAAUGACAGACAGUCAGUGAGUGUGUCUGUGUCCAACUCUUCCUCACAGGUUAGUUAAUGACAGACAGUCAGUGAGUGUGUCUGUGUCCAACUCUUCCUCACAGGUUAGUUAAUGACAGACAGUCAGUGAGUGUGUGUGUGUCCAACUCUUCCUCACAGGUUAGUUAAUGACAGACAGUCAGUGAGUGUGUCUGUGUCCAACUCUUCCUCACAGGUUAGUUAAUGACAGACAGUCAGUGAGUGUGUCUGUGUCCAACUCUUCCUCACAGGUUAGUUAAUGACAGACAGUCAGUGAGUGUGUCUGUGUCCAACUCUUCCUCACAGGUUAGUUAAUGACAGACAGUCAGUGAGUGUGUCUGUGUCCAACUCUUCCUCACAGGUUAGUUAAUGACAGACAGUCAGUGAGUGUGUCUGUGUCCAACUCUUCCUCACAGGUUAGUUAAUGACAGACAGUCAGUGAGUGUGUCUGUGUCCAACUCUUCCUCACAGGUUAGUUAAUGACAGACAGUCAGUGAGUGUGUGUGUGUCCAACUCUUCCUCACAGGUUAGUUAAUGACAGACAGUCAGUGAGUGUGUCUGUGUCCAACUCUUCCUCACAGGUUAGUUAAUGAUGUUACUGAGUCAGUGUGAGCAGAUUGUGUCUGUAGACUGAAGAGAAUCAGAGUCUCACUGAUGGUGGAAAUAAAGGUUUUACUUCCUUAAAACA